GUACACUCCUACAGGAGGCAGCAGUGGGGAAUUUUGGACAAUGGGCGAAAGCCUGAUCCAGCAAUGCCGCGUGAGUGAAGAAGGCCUUCGGGUUGUAAAGCUCUUUUGUCAGGGAAGAAACGGUGAAAGCUAAUAUCUUUUGCUAAUGACGGUACCUGAAGAAUAAGCACCGGCUAACUACGUGCCAGCAGCCGCGGUAAUACGUAGGGUGCAAGCGUUAAUCGGAAUUACUGGGCGUAAAGCGUGCGCAGGCGGUUUUGUAAGUCUGAUGUGAAAUCCCCGGGCUCAACCUGGGAAUUGCAUUGGAGACUGCAAGGCUAGAAUCUGGCAGAGGGGGGUAGAAUUCCACGUGUAACAGUGAAAUGCGUAGAUAUGUGGAGGAACACCGAUGGCGAAGGCAGCCCCCUGGGUCAAGAUUGACGCUCAUGCACGAAAGCGUGGGGAGCAAACAGGAUUAGAAACCCCUGUAGGCCCAU
rnacentral:rRNA from 1 species